rnacentral:lncRNA from 1 species
UUUUAAUAGGGCCAUCUUUUUGUCCUUUUUCAUUUGGGGGCAGAUAAUAUAACUCCUAAGAUAUAGGUAUAAUCUGGUUUUAAAAACUUGAUUGAAACCACUGUUUUUUUGACUCAGCAGGCAGCCUAGGCCCUGGCUGAAUGAAGGGGUAAGUCCUUCCUUGCAUGAUGGUGUGCAGGUUUUCCUGACUACCAAGUUUCUAAUGUUCAUAUGUGAAUUCACAUGUGUGGCUUCACCACCAUAACUUGUGUCUCCUAAAUACUAUAACUAAUUUGUUAGGAAGGAAAGAAACCAGAUUUGCUUAAAUCUGUUCACAGCUGACAUUCUGAAAUUCUAAACUGGACAUAACAGUGUUUAUAAUGAUAAUCGUGCAUGUCUAAUAUGGCUCUUUGUGAAUGAAAUGUCUAAUGAAAACAGUUAAAAACAUAGCUUAAAUUUAUCCAAGUGAACCUUUUGUUGCUUUUAUUUUUCUUUGUUGGAAAGGGAGGACUCAGUUACACCAAAAAGUAAUGAGUGCCCAUUACUUUGAGUAAGGCUAUUUCCACAUCAUAAUGGGCCCCUCCCUUCCUAGCUACAUUUUAGAUUGAGAGUGUCAGUUGUGAGCUUAGGGUUUAAGUGAUCAUCACUUGCAUGAUUAGUUUUGUGUAUCCUGAUAGCUUUGCUUUUCUGUGCCAGUUCAAAGUAACAUUUUUGCUAAGGACACUUAAAAUUAACUGACAUCAGUUUUGUUUUGAUUACCUGGUUAUGUGUGUAGUAUUUCUGGGACCAAAAAUUAUUUUAAACUACUGAGCUUUUAAAACACAGACCCUCAGUCUGAAAAGCUACAGAGAACACCUUUGUGUUCCAAUCCUGUCGUAGCUGGUAGGCAGGUUUUUUUUUGUACGCACCUUUUCCUCUCUGACUGUAGCAUGUGGUGUGUUUGAAAUACUUCCUCUUCUGCUUCCUGAUUCCAGUGUCAACACUAUAAGUAGACUGGAGCUGUGUUACAUAUUUUAGCUACUCGGUCUAAUAAAGUAUACAGGACCUCUUUCUGGUACCUUCUGAACUAAGCUUAUCUGACGCGCAAAGGGCAUGUUAGUCACAUUUCAUGUCUUUGAGCAUAUUUGGUGUUGUGAAACAAAUAUUCUUCCUACACUAGAGAAGUACGGUGCUUCAACCCUAGAAUAUUUGAGCAACCAUUCAGUCUGUUCUCAGCCAUUAAACAUUUUGGCACAGCUCAUCACUCCAUUUGUUAUGUUCUUGAGGAAAGUCCAUUUUGUUGUUAUACUUACAGCAUAUGUUCUGGUCAUUAAAACCAAACAAUUAUUGAGGGUUAUAAUAUAAUGACAGUAACUUUACAAAGUAGUCAUUUGCUUCAAGGACUUUACUUUUACUUAGCCAAAUGACUGCUCACUGUAACCCUCACAACUUUUGGCUUACUCUGUGACCCUUGCUAGGAGUGUGGUACCUUGAAGGACUUGUUAAUCAGUUACCCCUCCUGCUUCCUGCACCCAUGAAAACACAGUACUUGCUAGGUGUUUGAAAAUGUUACCAUCCAUGGGCUGGGGCUAGUUGUGUUAUUUGUAAAUUAAGUACUUAGUUUAUAAACAGUUUUUUGGCUAGUGGCACCCAGGCCCCUAUGCAAGAUAUCAUCUUGAUUAUCUCCCUUCAGGUUAGAGGAGAUCACAUUAUUUAGAACACUCUUGAGAUAUUAUGUUAUGUUCCUGAAGCUAUCUUGCUCGUGUUCAAG